UUGAACUUAGGAGGGUAAACUGGCGGCGUAACUGGUGGCUUCGUCGGAGGAGAAACCGGAGGCUUAACCGGAGCUUUGGUCGGAGGGUAAACCGGGGGCUUAACCGGAGGUUUGGCUGGUGGGGAAACUGGUGGCUUGACCGGGGGUUUAGUUGGGGGCUUAACCGGAGCUUUGGUUGGAGGGUAAACUGGUGGCUUGACCGGGGGUUUAGUUGGGGGCUUAACUGGAGCUUUGGUUGGAGGGUAAACCGGUGGCUUGACUGGAGGUUUAGCUGGUGGGGAGACAGGUGGCUUGACCGGGGGUUUAGUUGGGGGCUUAACCGGGGCUUUGGUCGGUGGGUAAACUGGGGGCUUAACCGGAGGUUUGGCUGGUGGAGACACUGGUGCCUUAACCGGGGGUUUAACGGGAG
rnacentral:lncRNA from 1 species